GAGGAGGAAGAGAUGCAGGAGGAGAUGGUGCUGCUGGUGAAGGGUGAGGAGGAUGAGGGUGAGGAGAAGUAUGAGGUGGUGAAACUCAAGAUCCCCAUGGACAACAAGGAGAACCCACAGGAUUCUGCCUGAGCAGCUCUGAGUCCCACUGAAGGGUGGCUCCAGCUGGCCCAGCUUUCAGGCUCCCGAGGACUUCUUCCUGCACGGGGGCCAGUUCCCUGGGAAAGAAAGUUCUGCUGCCCCCUAGUGGGCAUGGUGGGUCCUUGGGGCAGGGGACUUUGCUCCUUAGGCUUCCCCUUCCUUAGGCUUCCCCUUCCAGGUUCUAUUUCUCUCUGGGCUUCUUGGUCCAUCAUCCCAGCUCAGCCUGCCUGUUCUGGUCCUGUGGAUCCCCUGAUCUCUGCCUUUAGCUUAUAAAUUAAGAACACAGACUCCAGAGCUUAGCGUGGACUUCAAACGCUACUACCUACCAGCUAUGUGAACUUGAACAAGUUUCUUAACCUCUUUAUGCCUCUGUUUCCUCAUUUGUAAAAGGGAAGUUACAGCAGCACCUGCUUCUGGAAUUGUGAGGGUUGAAUGAGUUAACACGUCUGGCACAUAAUAAACAUUAUGUAAACAGUG